rnacentral:rRNA from 1 species
CCUACGGGCGGCAGCAGUAGGGAAUCUUCGGCAAUGGGGGCAACCCUGACCGAGCAACGCCGCGUGAGUGAAGAAGGUUUUCGGAUCGUAAAACUCUGUUGUUAGAGAAGAACGUUAAGUAGAGUGGAAAAUUACUUAAGUGACGGUAUCUAACCAGAAAGGGACGGCUAACUACGUGCCAGCAGCCGCGGUAAUACGUAGGUCCCAAGCGGUGUCCGGAUUUAUUGGGCGUAAAGCGAGCGCAGGUGGUUUGUGAAGGGUGAUGGAAAAGGCAGUGGGUGUACCAUUGUGUGCAUUGGAAACUGGGAGAAUUGAGUGCAGUAGAGGAGAGUGGAAUGCCAUGUGUAGCGGUGAAAUGCGUAGAUAUAUGGAGGAACACCGGAGGCGAAAGCGGCUCUCUGGCCUGUAACUGACACUGAGGCUCGAAAGCGUGGGGAGCAAACAGGAUUAGAUACCCUAGUAGUC